AGGGGUUUAAAAAGGCAAAAGUUUAAUUUCCCCCCCUCCCCCCCCCCCCCCCCUCAGAAUUAACUACUGUACUUAGGUUAUGCUGAUCAGAUAACUGAACGCUGUGCCCUGCUAUUGUGAGAUCAGCACUGUGGGAUUCAUUAGGGAUAUACUGUAUUUCUGCUGGAAAAGCUAUUAUUGCAUGCCUUGAAAUACAGUGGCAUCCAGAAUAAAUGCUUGGUGCAGCCUGACCCACAGAUUUUGAGAACCACGUGAGCGGAAGCCUGGAAAAAGAAUUCUUUAAAGAUAAAUUGGACUACUGCUCUGCCAGACUACACCUCAAAUUUAGAAGAGGAGGUCAAGGGGACAUGGCUCUGAGAACUGUAGAUCUCACAGGAGCUGCUGUGCGUGUUUCUGCAGAGGGAUUAAUUCGACGGAGCAUCUGAAGAACGGCAGUGUCUUUAGAACAAAGGGGACCCAGAGAGCUUCAUAGUGUUCAAGUCUUUUCCAAAAAUGCCAGUCAUGAGCAUCAAGGAAAUUCUCCUACAAAAUUAUUAUUUUUGAGCUUUUUCGUUAAUAUUGGAGACCUUUGCAUAUUUGCAUAUCUGAAAAAGCACAAAAUGCAAGUA
rnacentral:lncRNA from 1 species